rnacentral:rRNA from 1 species
UGGGGAAUCUUGCGCAAUGGGCGAAAGCCUGACGCAGCCAUGCCGCGUGAGUGACGAAGGCCUUCGGGUUGUAAAGCUCUGUUCAGGGGGACGAACACCUGGGGUAGGAUAAUGACCUCAGCCUGACGGUACCCCUGCAGCAAGCACCGGCUAACUCCGUGCCAGCAGCCGCGGUAAUACGGAGGGUGCAAGCGUUGUUCGGAAUUACUGGGCGUAAAGCGCGUGUAGGCGGUGGUGUAAGUCGGGUGUGAAAGCCCUGGGCUCAACCCAGGAAUUGCGCUCGAAACCGCAUGACUGGAGUACGGGAGAGGGGUGUGGAAUUCCUGGUGUAGAGGUGAAAUUCGUAGAUAUCAGGAGGAACACCGGCGGCGAAGGCGACACCCUGGACCGAUACUGACGCUGAGACGCGAAAGCGUGGGGAGCAAACAGGAUUAGAUACCCUGGUAGUCCACGCCGUAAACGAUGGGCACUAGAUGGUGCGGGUGUU